rnacentral:rRNA from 1 species
CGGGGUGAGUAAUGUCUGGGAAACUGCCUGAUGGCGGGGGAUAACUACUGGAAACGGUAGCUAAUACCGCAUAAUGUCUACGGACCAAAGCGGGGGACCUCCGGGCCUCGCGCCAUCAGAUGAACCCAUAUGGGAUUAGCUAGUAGGUGAGGUAACGGCUCACCUAGGCGACGAUCCCUAGCUGGUCUGAGAGGAUGACCAGCCACACUGGAACUGAGACACGGUCCAG